AAUAGGAAUUUUAACUUUAUGGGCUUCUUUGUCACUGAUCAUAUUCGUUGCUCAG
rnacentral:tRNA from 1 species